rnacentral:rRNA from 1 species
AGCGAACGCUGGCGGCAGGCUUAACACAUGCAAGUCGAGCGGGCACUUUCGGGUGUCAGCGGCGGACGGGUGAGUAACGCGUGGGAACGUGCCCUCUGGUUCGGAAUAACUCAGGGAAACUUGAGCUAAUACCGGAUACGCCCUUUUGGGGAAAGGCUUGCUGCCGGAGGAUCGGCCCGCGUCUGAUUAGCUAGUUGGUGAGGAAACGGCUCACCAAGGCGACGAUCAGUAGCUGGUCUGAGAGGAUGAUCAGCCACACUGGGACUGAGACACGGCCCAGACUCCUACGGGAGGCAGCAGUGGGGAAUAUUGGACAAUGGGCGCAAGCCUGAUCCAGCCAUGCCGCGUGAGUGAUGAAGGCCUUAGGGUUGUAAAGCUCUUUUAUCCGGGACGAUAAUGACGGUACCGGAGGAAUAAGCCCCGGCUAACUUCGUG